rnacentral:rRNA from 1 species
GGUUAAGCGACUAAGCGUACACGGUGGAUGCCCUGGCAGUCAGAGGCGAUGAAGGACGUGCUAAUCUGCGAUAAGCGCCGGUAAGGUGAUAUGAACCGUUAUAACCGGCGAUUUCCGAAUGGGGAAACCCAGUGUGAUUCGUCACACUAUCAUUAACUGAAUCCAUAGGUUAAUGAGGCGAACCGGGGGAACUGAAACAUCUAAGUACCCCGAGGAAAAGAAAUCAACCGAGAUUCCCCCAGUAGCGGCGAGCGAACGGGGAGGAGCCCAGAGCCUGAAUCAGCAUGUGUGUUAGUGGAAGCGUCUGGAAAGGUGCGCGAUACAGGGUGACAGCCCCGUACACAAAAGCGCAUGUGCUGUGAGCUCGAUGAGUAGGGCGGGACACGUGGUAUCCUGUCUGAAUAUGGGGGGACCAUCCUCCAAGGCUAAAUACUCCUGACUGACCGAUAGUGAACCAGUACCGUGAGGGAAAGGCGAAAAGAACCCCGGCGAGGGGAGUGAAAAAGAACCUGAAACCGUGUACGUACAAGCAGUGGGAGCACAGGUUUACCUGUGUGACUGCGUACCUUUUGUAUAAUGGGUCAGCGACUUAUAUUCUGUAGCAAGGUUAACCGUAUAGGGGAGCCGUAGGGAAACCGAGUCUUAACCGGGCGUUAAGUUGCAGGGUAUAGACCCGAAACCCGGUGAUCUAGCCAUGGGCAGGUUGAAGGUUGGGUAACACUAACUGGAGGACCGAACCGACUAAUGUUGAAAAAUUAGCGGAUGACCUGUGGCUGGGGGUGAAAGGCCAAUCAAACCGGGAGAUAGCUGGUUCUCCCCGAAAGCUAUUUAGGUAGCGCCUCGUGAAUUCAUCUCCGGGGGUAGAGCACUGUUUCGGCUAGGGGGCCAUCCCGGCUUACCAACCCGAUGCAAACUGCGAAUACCGGAGAAUGUUAUCACGGGAGACACACGGCGGGUGCUAACGUCCGUCGUGAAGAGGGAAACAACCCAGACCGCCAGCUAAGGUCCCAAAGUCAUGGUUAAGUGGGAAACGAUGUGGGAAGGCCCAGACAGCCAGGAUGUUGGCUUAGAAGCAGCCAUCAUUUAAAGAAAGCGUAAUAGCUCACUGGUCGAGUCGGCCUGCGCGGAAGAUGUAACGGGGCUAAACCAUGCACCGAAGCUGCGGCAGCGAACGUAUCACUUAAAGCGAUUCAGCGGGUUACGAUUGACGGAGCGAAGCGACGUCAAAGCGUAUACAAAGUCGAGUCGGUUUAAGGAUACGUUCGUUGGGUAGGGGAGCGUUCUGUAAGCCCGUGAAGGUGGCCUGUGAGGGUUGCUGGAGGUAUCAGAAGUGCGAAUGCUGACAUAAGUAACGAUAAAGCGGGUGAAAAGCCCGCUCGCCGGAAGACCAAGGGUUCCUGUCCAACGUUAAUCGGGGCAGGGUGAGUCGACCCCUAAGGCGAGGCCGAAAGGCGUAGUCGAUGGGAAACGGGUUAAUAUUCCCGUACUUGGUGUUACUGCGAAGGGGGGACGGAGAAGGCUAUGUUGGCCGGGCGACGGUUGUCCCGGUUUAAGCGUGUAGGUGUGUGUUCCAGGUAAAUCCGGUUCACUUUAACACUGAGGCGUGACGACGAGGCACUACGGUGCUGAAGCAACAAAUGCCCUGCUUCCAGGAAAAGCCUCUAAGCAUCAGGUAACAUCAAAUCGUACCCCAAACCGACACAGGUGGUCAGGUAGAGAAUACCAAGGCGCUUGAGAGAACUCGGGUGAAGGAACUAGGCAAAAUGGUGCCGUAACUUCGGGAGAAGGCACGCUGACACGUAGGUGAAGUGAUUUACUCACGGAGCUGAAGUCAGUCGAAGAUACCAGCUGGCUGCAACUGUUUAUUAAAAACACAGCACUGUGCAAACACGAAAGUGGACGUAUACGGUGUGACGCCUGCCCGGUGCCGGAAGGUUAAUUGAUGGGGUCAGCGCAAGCGAAGCUCCUGAUCGAAGCCCCGGUAAACGGCGGCCGUAACUAUAACGGUCCUAAGGUAGCGAAAUUCCUUGUCGGGUAAGUUCCGACCUGCACGAAUGGCGUAAUGAUGGCCAGGCUGUCUCCACCCGAGACUCAGUGAAAUUGAACUCGCUGUGAAGAUGCAGUGUACCCGCGGCAAGACGGAAAGACCCCGUGAACCUUUACUAUAGCUUGACACUGAACAUUGAGCCUUGAUGUGUAGGAUAGGUGGGAGGCUUUGAAGUGUGGACGCCAGUCUGCAUGGAGCCGACCUUGAAAUACCACCCUUUAAUGUUUGAUGUUCUAACGUGGACCCGUAAUCCGGGUUGCGGACAGUGUCUGGUGGGUAGUUUGACUGGGGCGGUCUCCUCCUAAAGAGUAACGGAGGAGCACGAAGGUUGGCUAAUCCUGGUCGGACAUCAGGAGGUUAGUGCAAUGGCAUAAGCCAGCUUGACUGCGAGCGUGACGGCGCGAGCAGGUGCGAAAGCAGGUCAUAGUGAUCCGGUGGUUCUGAAUGGAAGGGCCAUCGCUCAACGGAUAAAAGGUACUCCGGGGAUAACAGGCUGAUACCGCCCAAGAGUUCAUAUCGACGGCGGUGUUUGGCACCUCGAUGUCGGCUCAUCACAUCCUGGGGCUGAAGUAGGUCCCAAGGGUAUGGCUGUUCGCCAUUUAAAGUGGUACGCGAGCUGGGUUUAGAACGUCGUGAGACAGUUCGGUCCCUAUCUGCCGUGGGCGCUGGAGAACUGAGGGGGGCUGCUCCUAGUACGAGAGGACCGGAGUGGACGCAUCACUGGUGUUCGGGUUGUCAUGCCAAUGGCACUGCCCGGUAGCUAAAUGCGGAAGAGAUAAGUGCUGAAAGCAUCUAAGCACGAAACUUGCCCCGAGAUGAGUUCUCCCUGAGACUUAGAGUCUCCUGAAGGAACGUUGAAGACGACGACGUUGAUAGGCCGGGUGUGUAAGCGCAGCGAUGCGUUGAGCUAACCGGUACUAAUGAACCGUGAGGCUUAACCUU